UUGAAUCCAUUAAAAUGGUAUGCAGACAUAAUGGAAAUGACAUUCACAUUGUAGAGCUUGGACAAAGUUCACACAGGCUCGGAGCAGGAAUUCAUCAAGGACAUGACUGUUGGGAAUACAGUUGAGGAUGACCAAACUGAGCACCAUCAAUCUGCAGUGCUGUGUUUCAGUCAUCAGGUGAAAUUGAGGAUGUUGUGAAAGAAACUGAUGAGGACAUUCGGAUUGUAACUGAGGAGCAGCAAUGUGAUGUGCUUCCCAAG